rnacentral:lncRNA from 10 species
GGGUUUCACUGUGUUGCCCAGACUGUUCUCGAACUCCUGAGCUCAAGCUAUCCUCCUGCCUCGGCUUCCCAAAGUGCUGGGAUUACAGAUGUGAGCCACCGUGCUUGGCCUAACAUCUUUAAAUACCUGUUAUUUCUUACUCCUCUGAACUUCUCACUUUCCCUGAGAAUAAUUUUACCACCUCUUUGUUGGGCAGAAGUGCAAUAGGAACAUCAGAAAGUGCAAGUACAUAAUAACAGAGAAGUCAGUCUCUUUUUCUUCAUCUCUUGGGCAUCGAAAAGAGCAGAUGAUCCAGAUUUGAAAGUCUGGGAAAGCCAUGCUGUGUGAGAACAGGGGCUUGCAUGACAACAGAGGGUUGGGCUUGAGCCCCCAGGGUCUGCAGCAGUCUCACAGUUUAGCAGUUACUUAUGCCUUUCUCUCAAAGUCAACUGCUGAGUUUUGUCCCAAACUACCCUCUGCUGCAAUAUGUCUCCCAGGCUGAGGAGGAAAUUAGUCUUCUUAUCCCAGUUGUCAUUGCUUGUCACCUUCUCUGAAGCAAUGACAUUCAUGACCUGGUUCUUGGCCUCAACCUCUGAGAAGUUCUCCUUUCUGCAUUCCUCAUCUUAAAUUACUUAACCUGAAAAUAUACUGUUUAAAUCUUACACUGGAGCUCCAUAUACUCUGCUUAACUGCAGAAAGAGUCUGUCUAUGUAAAUUAAUUUUCCAGAUAACUGAAGCUUAGCCAUCUUUUGAUGCCAGCCAUGUGGACGAGAAUUUUUCUGAGGGUGAAUUGCAGUGCAGGUAUCCUUGCUUUCUUAACCAGGAUACAUGGAACAAAAUUGAGCUUUUCUGCCAUUAGUCUGUCCUCUUACAAAGUAAUGAUGUCCUCAAGCUCUACUGGGGUGUGUAGAAUCUCUUUCACGUUUUUGACCUCAGAUUGCUGCAAUUUUGUGCUCUAUAUUUCCUUUGUUAAAAGUUUUUCAUGUUUUGCUGCAUUAUCCCUGGUGUCACUUAUGGCUAGUUACUGCUCAUUUAACAUUUUGUUGACUGAAAAACAAUGUAACUAGAAUUGUGUGCAAAUGUUCUGUAUGGAAACAUCAUUUUAGUACUUGAGGAUCUCUGAGGUCUUUUUCAGGUUUAAUUUAUUUUUAUGGUUCUAGAUAUCCCUCCAAAUGAAUAUGAUCUAUUGUGCAUGCACAGAGAGUGGAACUUUUUGGGGGACACUUCAUGGACCAUUUUUAACUUAUCUAACUCCCAGCUUGGCUCUUCAUAGCUGAUAUAUAUGAUCUCUAGAAAUGUGAGAUAGCAAUAUUGAAGGCAGGAUUCUAAGAUGGCCUGUGUAAUCUCCUCCUCUUGAGUCUGGGAGGGACCUGUGAGUAUGGUGGGGUGCCCCUCUAAUUAUUAGCUUACUUUAUAAGGAAAAGAUGAAAAUUUUUGCAGAUAUAAUUAAAAUCCUUAAUCUGUUGACUUUAAGUUUGAUCUUUUUAAAAAUUAUUUUAUUUUAUUAUUAUUUUUUUUUGAGAGGGAAUCUUGCUCCCGUUGGGCAGGCUGGAGUGCAGUAGAGCGAUCUUGGCUCACUGCAACUUCUGCCUCCCGGGUUCAAGCAAUUCUCUUGCCUCAGCCUCCCAAGUAGCUGGGAUUACAGGCACGGGCCACCACACCCAGCUAAUUUUUAUAUUUUUAGUAGAGAUGGGAUUUUACCAUGUUGGCCAGGCUGAUCUCUAACUCCUGACCUCAGGUGAUCCACCAGCCUCUGCCUCCCAAAGUGCUAGUAUUACAGGUGUGAGCCACCAUGCCCGGCCUUUAAGUUCAAUCAUAAGGGAGAUUGACUAAAGUGGGCCUGACUUAAUCAGGUAAGCCCUUUAACAGAGGGUCUAGAGUUUAAAGAUUUCUCCCUGGUGGCCUUAAAGACGCAAGCUGCCAUGAGUUCUAUAGCAGCAAGAAAAUUAAUACAGCUGCCAAUCACUUGAGCUUGGAAGAGGAUCCUGAACCUCAGAGGAGACUGUAGCCCUAGCUAAAAUCUUGAUUCCAGUAUAGUAAGAUCCUGAGCAAAGAACCCAGUUAAGAUAUGUCUGGCCAGCCAUAGGGCUCACACCUGUAAUCCCAGCACUGUGGGAGGCCGAGGCAGGAAGAUUGUUUGAGGCCAGGAGUUCUAGACCAGCCUGGGCAACAUAGCAAGACCUUGUCUCUACAAAAAAUAAAUAAAAUAAAAUAAAAUAAAAUAAAAGAUAUGCCUGUACUCUCGACCCAUGGAAAGUGUGAAAUAAUAAAUGGGUACUGUUUUAAACCAUGAAGUUUGUGAUAAUUUAUUAUGCAGCAGUAGAAAAUUAAUACACAUCCCACUUGGGUUUUGUGUUUAAAAGGAUGAAAGAACAUACUAUACUCAUAAUGCAUAGAUUCACACAAUUCAGUCACAUUAUAAUAAUUACCCUAUCCUACUAUGGAUAAUAUCAAUUCUGAGUUUUAUUUGGCCCAGAAAAUAAAACUCAGAACCUAUUAAGAUUAUACUUGGCUGAGUAUGGUGGCUGCUGCCUGUAAUCCCAGCAUUUGGGGAGGUUGAGGUGGGAGGACUGCUUAAAUGCAGGAAUUUGUGACCUGCCUGGGCAACAGAGUGAGACCCCAUCUAUAGAAAAAGGAAUAAUAAAACGAAAAAAUAGUUCAGCAUGGUGGCUUGCACCUGUAGUCCCAGCCACCUGGGAGGCUGAGGUGGGAGGAUCACUUGAGCCCAGGAGUUCAGAGGCUUCAGUGAGCUAUGACUGCGACACUGCACUCCAGCCUGGGCAACAGAGACUCUGUCUCCAGACAAAACAAAACAAAACAAAACACAGCACAAGAUUAUACUUGUCUAUUCCUGAGUUCCAGAAAGUAAAAUAUGCAAUAUGAACCUACUGACCUAAAUAAUGUCUGCAGGGCCAUAGUGGUAAAUCUGAUGCAAUAUUUCUCUAUCACUUUCUCCACCCAAGAAAGAGGCAUAUAUAUAUUUUAAAAGAUCUCAUGUUUAAAAAAAAAACAAAACUAAAAACCUAAGCUUAUCAGUAGGUAUGUGAUGGGGUCAACUUUUUCUUUUUACAGUGACGUUUUAGUUGCUCACUUAUUUUACGAAUAAGCACAACACAAUAAUGAUGGUAUAAUAUAUUUUUGAGUGUUAGAAAUUUAUUAUAUAUGACCUUCACAAUAUAUGUCAGAUCAAACAUGAGUUAAUCAUUAAAUACAGUCUGGCAGACAAGUAGCUUGUUUAUGGAUUUAAUUAUUUAAAUGUUAGUUUUUGAGUAGUUAUUAUUGUAUAUAGUAAAAAUGAAAUCUCUUACUUGUCCUUCAUUCAGUUUUCUUCUCCAAAGUCAA